CGCGUUGUCAAAUCGCGUCCGUUGUGUCUGGGACUGUAAGCGUAAAAUACGGCGCAACUGAUAGUGGUCAUGCUUUAGGAAUAUUCGGAGUUACUGUUCUUUUGUAUUUUAUAAAAAUACUGAGUGGUUAAUUUAGGAAUGUUGUCUUCAUGAAUGUAUGCGUGCGGUCGGUCCAUUGUCAUUCAUUUAUAUGGAAUACAAAAGUAAUACUUCUUCUAAAGUUAACUUCAUUGUUGCUCUUAGCUUGUGAAUGUAUUACUAAGCUAUUUUCGCUUCAUAGUAUUUAGUGGUGCCGUGGGUUGCAAUUGUAAGCGUAAAAUACUGCGCAACUGAUGGUGGGCAUGCUGUAGGAAUGUUGUCUUCAGACUUCAUGAUUGUAUGCGUGCGGUCCAUUGUCAUUAUUCAUUUAUAUGGAAUACAAAAAGUAAUGCUAUAAAUUUUGCCAUCAUCAGAACUCAGCAGAGGCCAAUGUUCAAAAUUCUUGCAGUAUUCACUACAACAAACAUUUAUAUCAAUAGCCAUUAGCCCUUAAAAACUGAAACGAAAAUGAAUGGACAAAAUUUUAUGAAUAAUUCACACGGUGCCAUGCAUACUUCCAUAUUCAAAAGAUCAAGAUUUAAUAUCAAUAAUGAUUGUAAGGAGACAUCAAUUUAAAUCUUUUCCUGUACAAUCCUAAAAUGAUUAAAAACAACUGACCUGUAUUGUACUGAAUUGUAUUAAAUUUACCAUGCGAUUAUAACGAAUCAAACGCA